ACCAGGCCUUGACAUGCAGAGAACUUCCAGAGAUGGAUUGGUGCCUUCGGGAACUCCGACACAGGUGCUGCAUGGCUGUCGUCAGCUCGUGUCGUGAGAUGUUGGGUUAAGUCCCGUAACGAGCGCAACCCUUGUCCUUAGUUACCAGCACGUUAUGGUGGGCACUCUAAGGAGACUGCCGGUGACAAACCGGAGGAAGUGGGGAUGACGUCAAGUCAUCACGGCCCUUACGGCCUGGGCUACACACGUGCUACAAUGGUCGGUACAAAGGGUUGCCAAGCCGCGAGGUGGAGCUAAUCCCAUAAAACCGAUCGUAGUCCGGAUCGCAGUCUGCAACUCGACUGCGUGAAGUCGGAAUCGCUAGUAAUCGUGAAUCAGAAUGUCACGGUGAAUACGUUCCCGGGCCUU
rnacentral:rRNA from 1 species